rnacentral:rRNA from 1 species
AUGCCAGACUCCUACGGGAGGCAGCAGUGGGGGAUAUUGCACAAUGGGGGGAACCCUGAUGCAGCGACGCCGCGUGGGUGAAGGAGCGUUUCGGCGCGUAAAGCCCUAUCGGCAGGGAAGAAGGAGGACGGUACCUGACUAAGAAGCCCCGGCUAACUACGUGCCAGCAGCCGCGGUAAUACGUAGGGGGCAAGCGUUAUCCGGAUUUACUGGGUGUAAAGGGGGCGCAGACGGCAGCGCAAGCCAGGAGUGAAAGGCCGGGGCCCAACCCCGGGACUGCUCUUGGAACUGCGCGGCUGGAGUGCAGGAGGGGCAGGCGGAAUUCCUGGUGUAGCGGUGAAAUGCGUAGAUAUCAGGAGGGACACCGGUGGCGAAGGCGGCCUGCUGGACUGCGACUGACGUUGAGGCCCGAAAGCGUGGGGAGCAAACAGGAUUAGAUACCCUCGUA